AAGAAAAAAUGACACAUUAGCUGACAAUGUUUGGCUGACUGUGCUGUGCUGUGCUGUGGUGGUUUGUUGUGCCCCACCCCUGAUUAAAUGGAAUAACCACAUUUACCACUUGAAAUAAUUGAAAGCGACUAAAGAACAUGGGCCAAGUACACACAGAGAGAGCCGCAUAUAUGAUGAUGAUACCGAUACCGAACCGAUACCGAUAGCUCUAACAUAUAUAGUCAGUCGAAUACAUUGGUAAGCAAUGUACAUAUGUUUGUAGCACACGGCGAUCGGCAAAAAGUUCCACUUGAAAGCCUUAAUUGAUUUAACUGAUACUGAUACUGAUGCCCCAACAAAGCAACAGAAAAGCAAAUGCGAGGCGAACCGAACCGAACUGAACUGAACUGAAUGCAAGAAACACUCAACAAAUCAAUAGAUAAAUUCCAAGCUCGACUGGCUUGUAUCUCAGUAUCUAUGUCUCGGAUGUGGCACUGAUUGUCGCCGCACUGAUGCCACAGCCACCCCCCAAUCUCCCACUCCAAUUCACAGCUAACCAAGAGUUGACAAUUUUGAAAAAGAAGAAAAAAAAUAAAAAUCAAGCACAAUUCCCAUCCCCCGACCACCACGCGUCACGGCAUCUUCAAACGCGCAUUGGCAACCGUGAAAAAACACGCCGUGCAACAAGAUACCAGAUACCAGGCUUCACAGCUCUCUCUCUCUCGCCCAAGCAGUUUUGACAAUGAAAAUAUGAAAAUCGAUGUCGAUGUCGCUGUCGAAGUCGCUGACGAUGUCGUUGACGAUGUCAGUCUUUUGGUCAUGCCGCCGUGGAAUGUUGACAGGCGUGUUUGCUUAUCGCGAUCACAGCGAAUACAAUUGGCGUUGGUAACAAGGAUGCGGAUUGAGAUGUGAAAGGUUGUUCAGUGUUUGCUGUUUUUGUUUGACA